rnacentral:tRNA from 1 species
GCGCCCGUAGCUCAGCUGGAUAGAGUACCUGCUACGAACCAGGCGGGUCGGGAGUUCGAAUCUCUCCGGGCGCGCCA